AUGACGGCACUACGGAGCAGCUCAGUGGCAGCGCCUUGCAGUACCGAUAGCGCGCCAUUGCAGCGCGGACGAGCUUCAUUGCAACCCUGGCGAAGCUUCAACGACUCCGGCGGCGCUUCAUUGCAACUCCGGCGACGCUUCAAUGCAUCUCCGGCGAAGCUCCCACGACCCCGCGACGCUUCAUUGCAGCUCCGGCGACGCUUCAAUGCAUCUCCGGCGAAGCUCCGACGAAGCUUAAAUGCAUCUCCGGCGAAGCUCCGACGAUCCCGCGACGCUUCAUUGCAGCUCCGACGAAGCUUCGACGACCCCGCAACACUGCAUUGCAGCUCUGGCGAGGCUUCAUUGCAAAUUCCGGCGAAGCUCCGAUGA
rnacentral:rRNA from 1 species